UCAAACUUGGUCAUUUAGAGGAAGUAAAAGUCGUAACAAGGUUUCCGUAGGUGAACCUGCGGAAGGAUCAUUAAUGAUUUUUUAAGCAAACCUUUUUUUUUUAAAAGGGAAAGGUUUUGCGAAUAAUAUUUAAAACCCCCACUCUUUAAAAAUAAGAUUUUCUAUUCAUAUUCAUGAAUAAAAAAAGAUCACUUUCAACAACGGAUCUCUUGGCUCUCGCAUCGAUGAAGAACGCAGC
rnacentral:misc_RNA from 1 species